GGCAGCAUGGUGUAGUGCUUUGAGCGUUGGACUGCAACUUUGGAAACCAGGGUUCAAAUCCCUGCUCAGCCA
rnacentral:tRNA from 1 species